rnacentral:lncRNA from 1 species
AGAUCUAAAAUCUGCUGUUUCAUCCCUCAAGAUAUAAGUGUCUUACGGCUGUAUUUUAUUAAAAAUUGAUGCCAAAGUUUUCUUUUCUGCAUUUGGAAAUCCUUUCAGUCAAUUAACAUCAAAACGUAAAGCUUUACAUUUGGUGAGAGCUACUGUAAUUAUAUUUACUUUGCAGUUUAUUGCCGUAUGCUUAAAAUGAUUGUAUGUUUGUAUUACACCUAAAAACUUCAUUAAAAGAACAUUAAAGCUGCAAAGUCUGGCAUUCUGAAACUAAGGAAAUGAUGGAAGUCUGUUUUUCUUUGCAACUUUAACACUCUGUAGGGAAAUCAGAACAGCUUGCUCGCUGUCUAGACUCAGAACGCAGCACAGAGGAGAGGUGGGCGCCCCAUAGCGCGGUAUGAGCCAACGUGGUGAUGGUUGGGGAGCCUCGGGGAGCCCCUCUGCUCAUAAGUCAGUGUGCCAGCAAUGGGGCUCAAAGCACAGCUGGGCUCUGCUUAAGUGAAGCACCUGACUAUGCUCCUUGGUUCAGGUGGGAUCUGCAGCCUGCAAUUAGCAGCCGUGCUGGGUUCAGCUCCUUUCCCCAAGGGACAGCAGGAGAAUCUCUGAGACAAAGGUGCGGCUUCAGAUUUGAAUAUCCUGGGGCUCUUCCGUUCUUGAUCCAGGCUUCAGCUCUGAGGCCGAGGCUGAUGUUGGCGUGUGAAGGAUCAGCAGUGAGCACACGGCUGCACAGGGAGGCACAGGGAGACGUACCGCCUUUGCUGGCAGGAGCAAACUGAAUGCUUCUUAAAUCACCCGCUAGAAAUGUUUUCCUGUAGCAAAGUGAUAUCCGUGCCAUUCUGUGGUACAGACACGCACAGUGGAAGGAGAUGGAAUGCACAGAGAGGCCACGCACAAGAGAUCCCUCCAGUGCAGCAGUGUGGCUGGUGGCUGUGUGUAUUCCCC